CACCUUGGCCUCCCAAAGUGCUGGGAUUACAGCCGUGAGCCACCGCGCCCAGCCAUGGUCCAACUUUUCGUACUAAUUUGAGGCAGUGUUUGUGUUUGAUAAAAUGCAGUAAUGUUUUUGAACCUUUAUAAAGCCAAAAUCCGAGUUGCUUAUUCUCAAGGUCAUGUUUCUAUAAAAGAAAACGCACCAGCCACAAAAAGCAACACAGUUUAAACCUUUAUUUGCAUUUUAAGAAAACCCCAGAGUGUAUUGAAAAUGUAGUUCAAAGUUGCUGUUAAAAUUUCCUCUCCCAAUCAUUUUUCUAACACAGCCCUCUGCCCAAACUCCCACUAAGCCUUAUUCCAGAACAUCUGCCACAAAAUGUCUUUUUUCCUCUUUUUGUCUCUACCCUCUUUUUUUUUUUGCUAGAUUGAGAGUGGAGAAGACUUUGAACACUUCUAUGCAUUCAUGUCAUUACCUAGAUAAAGUGCUCAUGCCAUGUCUGACACUCCUGACAGGUCCUGGCUCUGUUGCCCAGGCUGGAGUGCAGUAGCACGAUCAUGGCUCUCUGCAACUACCACCUCCCAGGCUCAAGAGAUCCUCCCACCUCAGCCUCCCGAGUAGCUGGGACUACAGACACCUGCCACUACACCUGGCUAAUUUUUGUAUUUUUGGCAAAUACGGCGUCUUCCUAUGUUGCCCAGACUUGUCUCUAACUCCUGGGCUCAAGCGAUCCUCCUGCCUUAGCCUCCCAAAGUGCUAGGAUUACAGGCAUGAGCCACCGUGCCCAGGCCAAGAAUGUGAUUUUUAAAUGGCUACAUUCAUCAUAUGACUAGAUCAUAGUUUAUUUUGCUAUAUAGAUUAUUCAAAAAUUUUGGUAUUAGAAAAAAAACUGAAACGAACAUCUUCGGACAACUAAAGUCUUCAGAUACUGCUAAUUAUUAAGAGCCACCCGGUUACUCUAGUCCACCUAGAAUAGUGUUUGCAUUAGACUCAUAGCCCCAAGUUGUCAAUAUCAAGUAACUGUUUAUCAUGGGGAGGGAAACUGCUUUUUCCUCUCGUUUUUAUUUAUUUAUUUAUUUAUUUUGAGACAAAGUCUCGUUCUGUCGCUCCGGCUGGGGUGCAGCGGCGCGAUCUCGGCUCACUGCAACUUCUGCCUCCUGGUUCAAGCAAUUCUCCUGCCUGAGCCUCUCGAGUAGCUGGGAUUACAGGUGCUGGCCACCAUGCCCGGCUAAUUUUGUAUUUUUAGUUGAGACAGGGUUUUACCGUGCUGGCCAGGCUGGUCUCAAGCUCCUGGCUUCAGGUGGAUCCACUUGCCUCGGCCUACCAAAGUGCUGGAUUACAGGUGUGAGCCACCACACCUGGCCACAGAUUUUUGUUUUUAAUGUUUUGUUAACUAUUUCUAUGUAAAAUUUCCCUUUGCGUUGUUUAUUUAAGGCAUUUACACACUUUAUUUGGAGGAGUCCAUGGCACAAAAACAGUUAUGAACAUGUGCUCUGUUUUUUUUUUUCCUUUUCCCCCAAUUCUCUUUCCUUUUCACAAAGUUGAUGAAAGGCAUGACUGAUUUUAUUUAUUUAUUUAUUUAUUUAUUUAUGAGACGGAGUCUUGCUUUGUCACCCAGGCUGGAGUGCAGUGGCGCGAUCUCGGCUCACUGCAACCUCCGCCUCCUGGGUUCAAGCGAUUAUUCUGCCUCAGCCCCCUGAGUAGCUGGGGCUACAGGCAAGCGCCACCACAUCUGGCUAAUUUUUGUAUUUUUAGUAGAGACGGGGUUUCACCAUGUUGGUCAGGCUUGUCUUGAACUUCUGACCUCGUGAUCCACCUGCCUCGGCCUCCCAAAGUGUUGGGAUUACAGGAGUGAGCCACUGCGCCCAUCCCAUUUAUUUAAUUUUUUGAAUCAAAGAGGAGAUGCAUUAUAGUGUACUUUUUUCUUUCCAUCUCAAAUUUCACUUAAUGCGAAGCCUUUCUUGUCCAGCUCCAUGCCGUCAAAAGAUCUUUAAAAGAAACAGAAGAUUUCACAUGUGUACAAGGAUUGAGUCAUCCUUAACCUAUUAUUAAGAGGAUUUUUACAAUUGAAAAGGACGUUUCGGGCCACCAAGCAGCUGGAAGCCAGUGAGUAAGAUUUUGGAGGGAAAUGGUUUUUGUGAACAGGUGGAAAUGAUUUGACCAGGACGCACUGGCUCACUCUUCUAACCAAAUGGAUGAUAGAAAAUUUGUGUUUUGCUCUCAACUUGAAAUCCAAAAUUCUACUUGUAUAAAUCAAUCUAAUUCCUGCCUUAUCUUUGAUAACAUUACUGAUAAACUGUUUAAAACUAAA